AACGAACGCUGGCGGCAGGCUUAACACAUGCAAGUCGAACGCAUCCUUCGGGGUGAGUGGCAGACGGGUGAGUAACGCGUGGGAACGUGCCCUUCAGUUCGGGAUAACCCAGGGAAACUUGGGCUAAUACCGGAUACGUGCGAGAGCAGAAAGAUUUAUCGCUGAAGGAUCGGCCCGCGUCUGAUUAGCUAGUUGGGGGGGUAAUGGCCCACCAAGGCGAGGAUCAGUAGCUGGUCUGAGAGGAUGAUCAGCCACAUUGGGACUGAGACACGGCCCAAACUCCUACGGGAGGCAGCAGGGGGGAAUAUUGGACAAUGGGCGCAAGCCUGAUCCAGCCAUGCCGCGUGAGUGAUGAAGGCCUUAGGGUUGUAAAGCUCUUUCGUCCGGGACGAUAAUGACGGUACCGGAAGAAGAAGCCCCGGCUAACUCCGUGCCAGCCGCCGCCGUAACAC
rnacentral:rRNA from 1 species